UUUUGUUUCUGGUUUGAAGUUAAAUUAUAUUUGUUUUUCCUGUUUAAAUUGUUUUUUAACAGUGUUUUUGGUGCCCUUAAUAGAAUGCUGUCCAAUGUGACACAAGUCUUUGUUAUGAAGGCUGUAUUAUGACCUAUAAUAACUUUGACUACACUGUGUCUAACACUUCAUGGAGAGUUGCCUCAUUGUUAUUCCUAUCACAUUUAAAAAGAUAUUCCCUCUGACAUUUGACAAAUGCAUUAGAA
rnacentral:lncRNA from 1 species